ACUACGGGAGGCUGCAGUGGGGGAUAUUGCACAAUGGGGGGAACCCUGAUGCAGCGACGCCGCGUGGGUGAAGAAGCGCCUCGGCGCGUAAAGCCCUGUCAGCAGGGAAGAAAAUGACGGUACCUGAAGAAGAAGCCCCGGCUAACUACGUGCCAGCAGCCGCGGUAAUACGUAGGGGGCAAGCGUUAUCCGGAUUUACUGGGUGUAAAGGGGGCGCAGACGGCGAUGCAAGCCAGGAGUGAAAGCCCGGGGCCCAACCCCGGGACUGCUCUUGGAACUGCGUGGCUGGAGUGCAGGAGGGGCAGGCGGAAUUCCUGGUGUAGCGGUGAAAUGCGUAGAUAUCAGGAGGAACACCGGUGGCGAAGGCGGCCUGCUGGACUGCAACUGACGUUGAGGCCCGAAAGCGUGGGGAGCAAACAGGAUUAGAUACCCUGGUAGUC
rnacentral:rRNA from 1 species